AACGGAAACAGGAAAAAAGGGGGCAACAAAAAAAGAUCGUACCCUUUGGUUCGGAACAACUCUGGGAAACUGGAGCUAAUACCGGAUACGCCCUUUUUGGGGAAAGGUUUAUCUGCCGAAGGAUCGGCCCGCGUCUGAUUAGCUAGUUGGUGGGGUAACGGCCUACCAAGGCGACGAUCAGUAGCUGGUCUGAGAGGAUGAUCAGCCACACUGGGACUGAGACACGGCCCAGACUCCUACGGGAGGCAGCAGUGGGGAAUAUUGGACAAUGGGCGCAAGCCUGAUCCAGCCAUGCCGCGUGAGUGAUGAAGGCCUUAGGGUUGUAAAGCUCUUUUAUCCGGGACGAUAAUGACGGUACCGGAGGAAUAAGCCCCGGCUAACUUCGUGCCAGCAGCCGCGGUAAUACGAAGGGGGCUAGCGUUGCUCGGAAUCACUGGGCGUAAAGGGCGCGUAGGCGGCCGGAUAAGUUGGGGGUGAAAGCCUGUGGCUCAACCACAGAAUUGCCUUCGAUACUGUUCCGCUUGAGUGUGGUAGAGGUUGGUGGAACUGCGAGUGUACAGGUGAAAUUCGUAGAUAUUCGCAAGAACACCGGUGGCGAAGGCGGCCAAC
rnacentral:rRNA from 1 species